GAGACAGUUCGGUCCCUAUCUGCCAUGGGUGUAGGAAACUUGAGAGGAUCUGACCUUAGUACGAGAGGACCGGGUUGGACGUACCUCUGGUGCACCAGUCGUCAUGCCAAUGGCGCAGCUGGGUAGCUAUGUACGGAAUGGAUAAACGCUGAAAGCAUCUAAGCGUGAAACCUUCCUCAAGAUGAGUUUACUUUUAAGGGCCGUAGUAGACUACUACGUUGAUAGGCUAUAGGUAUAAGGGUGGUAACAUCGCAGCCGAGUAGUACUAAUUACCCGUAAGCUUUAUUUUUU
rnacentral:rRNA from 1 species